rnacentral:lncRNA from 1 species
AAGAAAUAAUAUCCUGAGCGUUUGUUGUUAAAACUACCAUACGCAUCCAAGACUUCAUUCACUCGUAUUACAGUUUCAAGGUAUUUUAUUAAAGUAAGGACAUAAUACCCAAUCCGCAUACUCGUUAAGCCGCAAUUCACAAUCGGAGAGCUGAUUUUCCACAAUUUCAAAGACUGUGGUAUUGUUUCUCACAUCCACAAUGUAAAAACUCCUGAUAAGGUGAAGAGGCCUCACAAAUAGUUGUCCAAAAGGGUUUCCAUGGAUCAUAUUUGUUCCUUCGCCAUUCAUACGCGUCUGGACUAGUUAGCAUAGGAACCUUUUCCAAGCGUGUUACUCAUUCACACCCGCCAUGGUAUAGUGCACGCUUUACAUGCUGAAAAAUACUAGACCGAGUCGUGGGAAUAGCCUCAAUAAGUCUUUCCUCUACCGAAAACACACGUUUUCUUGCUUUGUUAACCCCAUCUGAUAAGUUUUUUUCGAUCUUACAACAAAACCACGUAUCGUUUUCAAUGACAUUAAAUUUAUCAAAUCCAAAUCUGAUGAUAUUGGCUGAUCAAUCAUUAUUCUAAAUGCUAAAGUCACAUCUUCAAACGCCAUUAAUCUCACUAACGCUGUUCCCUUUCCAGCAAACGUGUUAUCUUUUAAUGCCUAGUUCAUUUGAAAGGUCAUGGGUAGAUAUAUAUCUUAAGCUUUUUCCACUUCCAAAUGCAAACCAAAGUUUAUCUGCCCGUUUGUCACGGAAUAGCGAAUCAGCAAUGACAUCAGUAUCG